AUGGACGCCGGAGAUCCCCUGCUUCGGGCUACUCCCCUGCUCUCCCGCGCGUCCUCCUCCGCCGCCGCAGCUGCCUCCUCCGCCGCUCCCUUCUGCCUCCCGCAGCCCCCCACCCUCCCUUGCCUGCCUCCCGAAUCUUCCCUCUUUCACCCAAAAAUUGUUUCUUCUUCCUCCCGCCGUGUCUCCUGCUCGCGGCCACCCCCUCCCUCCUAG
rnacentral:rRNA from 1 species